UACAGAGGUCUCAAGCGUUGUUCGGAUUCAUUGGGCGUAAAGGGUGCGUAGGCGGCGCGGUAAGUCGGGUGUGAAAUCUCGGAGCUUAACUCCGAAACUGCAUUCGAUACUGCCGUGCUUGAGGACUGGAGAGGAGACUGGAAUUUACGGUGUAGCGGUGAAAUGCGUAGAUAUCGGAAGGAAGACCAGUGGCGAAGGCGGCCGCCUGGUUGGAUACUGACGCUGAUACGCGAAAGCGUGGGGAGCAAACAGG
rnacentral:rRNA from 1 species